UACAGAGGGUGCAAACGUUGUUCGGAAUUAUUGGGCGUAAAGAGCUCGUAGGCGGUCUGUCGCGUCUGGUGUGAAAAUCCAGGGCUUAACCCUGGACCUGCAUCGGGUACGGGCAGACUAGAGUGCGGUAGGGGAGAUCGGAAUUCCUGGUGUAGCGGUGAAAUGCGCAGAUAUCAGGAGGAACACCGGUGGCGAAGGCGGAUCUCUGGGCCGUAACUGACGCUGAGGAGCGAAAGCAUGGGGAGCGAACAGG
rnacentral:rRNA from 1 species